AUUGAACGCUGGCGGCAGGCCUAACACAUGCAAGUCGAGCGAGCGGCGGACGGGUGAGUAAUGUAUGGGGACUGCCCGAUAGAGGGGGGUAACUACUGGAAACGGUAGCUUAUACCGCAUACUGUCGGAUAACCCAUAUGGGAUUAGCGAGUAGGUGAGGGAAUGGCUCACCUAGGCGACGAUCCCUAGCUGGUAUGAGAGGAUGAUCAGCCACACUGGGAAUUGGAAACGGGCCAGACUCCAACGGAGGCAGCAGUGGGGAAUAUUGCAUAAUGGGCGAAAGCCUGAUGCAGCCAUGCCGCGUGUAUGAAGAAGGCUCUAGGGUUGUAAAGUACUUUCAGUCGGGAGGCGUUACCGACAGAAGAAGCACCGGCUAACUACGUGCCAGCAGCCGCGGUAAUAC
rnacentral:rRNA from 1 species